rnacentral:rRNA from 1 species
CUUAAAUUGAAGAGUUUGAUCAUGGCUCAGAUUGAACGCUGGCGGCAGGCCUAACACAUGCAAGUCGAGCGGAAACGACACUAACAAUCCUUCGGGUGCGUUAAUG